GAUGAACGCUGGCGGCGUGCCUAAUACAUGCAAGUCGAGCGAACGGACGAGAAGCUUGCUUCUCUGAUGUUAGCGGCGGACGGGUGAGUAACACGUGGAUAACCUACCUAUAAGACUGGGAUAACUUCGGGAAACCGGCGCUAAUACCGGAUGAUAUUUUGAACCGCAUGGUUCAAAAGAGAAAGACGGUGUUGCUGUCACUUAUAGAUGGAUCCGCGCUGCAUUAGCUAGUUGGUAAGGUAACGGCUUUCCAAGGCAACGAUGCGUAGCCGACCUGAGAGGGUGAUCGGCCACACUGGAACUUGGACACGGUCCAGAGUCCUACGGGAGGCAGCAGUAGGGAAUCUUCCGCAAUGGGCGAAAGCCUGACGGAGCAACGCCGCGUGAGUGAUGAAGGUCUUCGGAUCGUAAAACUCUGUUAUUAGGGAAGAACAUAUGUGUAAGUAACUGUGCACAUCUUGACGGUACCUAAUCAGAAAGCCACGGCUAACUACGUG
rnacentral:rRNA from 1 species